AGGUGAGGGAGUCCCAGAAGUGGAAGUGCAAUGGCCUCAGAGGCACUGUUUGGACUGUCUCUUCUUAUCAGUGGAGUGGAAAGAGGAGCCAGGCAGCUUCCUCAGGCCCUCUUGACCUUUGAGGAGGUGGCUGUGUUUUUCACGGAGGAGGAGUGGGCUCUGCUGGAUCCAGGCCAACGAGCUCUGCACAAGGGAGUCAUGGAGGAGAAUUAUGAGAUGGUGGCCUCUCUAG